CCUACGGGCGGCAGCAGUGAGGAAUAUUGGUCAAUGGGCGCAAGCCUGAACCAGCCAAGCCGCGUGAAGGAUGACUGCCCUACGGGUUGUAAACUGCUUUUAUAAAGGAGUAAACUGAGGCACGUGUGCCUUUUUGAAUGUACUUUAUGAAUAAGGAUCGGCUAACUCCGUGCCAGCAGCCGCGGUAAUACGGAGGAUCCGAGCGUUAUCCGGAUUUAUUGGGUUUAAAGGGAGCGUAGAUGGGUUGUUAAGUCAGUUGUGAAAGUUCGCGGCUCAACCGUGGAAUUGCAUUUGAUACUGGCAGUCUUGAGUGCAGUUGAGGUAGGCGGAAUUCGUGGUGUAGCGGUGAAAUGCUUAGAUAUCACGAAGAACACCGAUUGCGAAGGCAGCUUACUAAGCUGCCACUGACAUUGAUGCUCGAAAGUGUGGGUAUCAAACAGGAUUAGAUACCCGGGUAGUC
rnacentral:rRNA from 1 species